GUCGUCAGCUCGUGUCGUGAGAUGUUGGGUUAAGUCCCGCAACGAGCGCAACCCUCAUCCUUAGUUACCAUCAGGUAAUGCUGGGGACUUUAAGGAAACUGCCAGUGAUAAACUGGAGGAAGGUGGGGAUGAUGUCAAGUCAUCAUGGCCCUUAUGGAGUGGGCUACACACGUGCUACAAUGGUGGCUACAAUGGGCUGCAAAGUCGCGAGGCUAAGCUAAUCCCUUAAAAGCCAUCUCAGUUCGGAUUGUACUCUGCAACUCGAGUACAUGAAGUUGGAAUCGCUAGUAAUCGUGGAUCAGCAUGCCACGGUGAAUACGUUCUCGGGUCUUGUACACACUGCCCGUCACGCCAUGGGAAUUGGUUUCACUCGAAGCUAACGACCUAACCGCAAGGAGGGAGUUAUUUAAAGUGGGAUCGGUGACUGGGGUGAAGUCGUAACAAGGUAGCCGUAGAAUCACUAGUGAAUUCGCGGCCGCCUGCAGGUCGACCAUAUGGGAGAGCUCCCAACG
rnacentral:rRNA from 1 species